rnacentral:lncRNA from 1 species
GCAGGGUCUGAUCUCUGCACCCCGGGCCCCCGCGCAGACCCGCGGACGAGCGCUGGGUGGGGAUUUCAACCUGCUCCAGCUGAUGUGCGCGGGGUUUGCACCCCGGGGAGGCGAGGGAGAGAGUCCGGCCACGUCCUGCCAGGCCCCGCCCGCGCCCCCGCUGCCCUCCAGCGCGGAACCCAGGUCCCAGGAGACGCGAGGCGCCCAAGGCCCCGGGAUUCCGAGCCAGUCAACCCCGGGCCGCGACGCUCUGGGAACCACACCCGUCCAGGAAGGCACCUUGGCCAAAGCCGGCUCCUUCGCAGAUGACCCGGGCCAGGGUCCGAGCGCCAGGCUGUGACCCCGCGAGGCUGUUCCACGCUGGCCGCGAGAGACGGAGGGCAGGAGGGGCCCGAAUAGGACAGAGAGAGAGAGAGAGAGAGACAGAAGGAGGCGCACGCGCUCCCCAGGGACCGGGACGCGGUGGUGGGCGGGACCUCGCGGGGGUGGGGGGUGGUCGCAGGACCCAGAAGGCUCAGGACCUUUACGGAUAGGGAGGACCCCGCAGGGGGGAGCGGGGGAGCCCCACGCCCGGCGUCCUCCGGGUGCGAGGGUCUCGGGGAGUCCGAGCCCGGGCCCACGGCCUCUGUCCCGCGGCCACUACCUGCUGGGGGUCCCGGGCCUGGGCCACGCCGGGCUGCCCUCGGGGACUUGCUGCGGCCGUUGAGGGGUCUCCGCGCGCCGCGCAGACUCGCCUCCCAACCCGAGGGCCCGGGCGGCCGCCGCCCAGAGCGUCCAGCGGCAGCGUCUUGCUCUCGAAGGCGUCCUCCACGCAGCGGAACACGCAGCCAAGCUUGGGCCGGGCCAGAGGCCUCGCGGGCUCCUGAGGCUGCCGCGCGGUCACGGCAGGAGCGGGCGACAGAAUCCGGUCUCGGAGCCUCCUGUAGCGAGGUCUGCGCGGCAGGUGCACUGGGCGGACCUGGAGGCCGCGCCCUCCCCCCCCGCCUCCUGCCGCCCGGCAGCGCUGCGCGGAGCUGGCUCUGUCCACGUAGCGGGUGCUGAACGCCCCAUUCUGGCCCCUGGGUGCUCGCUUAGUCCCGGCCACGCGUGGCUGCUCGCCCUCGGGACACACUGGGCGCUGGGAAGGCCGGGCGGGGAGCGCGCACCGGAGAAACCGCUGUGGGAAUCCCGGCCACAUUUCCAGGCCCCUUGGGCCGUCCCACGCCAGACAAGAAAGCCCUGACUCCGAAACCCUGGGCGAGUGUGGAGGGCGCGCGGGGGUGGGGUGUACCCGCCCACGCAAACUGCUGCUGAUCUCCCUUAAAGCCGAGUUAGAGGCUUGGGGCGAGACAGGAGUGACGGGCGAUGCUGUCACUCCAUCUGUCAUUCUACCCAGCCUGCAGCAGCUGAAUUCGAACCCAGAGACUUCAGGCCUUUGCGUUGUUACCGCAGUCCGCAUUUCAAAGCCAGAGUUUGGCCACUGAGUCACCAUGACCUCGAGUACUGGCGGGGCCCGAGCCAGCAGAGCUAGGUCCAGCAGCUUCCCACCCCUUCGUCCUCCUCUGGGCUCCCCCUCCCCUAAAUGAUUAAUGCAAUGUCUGUUACUCACCUGUGUGGGACCGUCCACGGCAAAUAUCACCAACUGUUCUUAUGCACGUGCAGAAGUUCCGUCCCUUUCCUAACUGUCUGAUCUCUUCCAUGGUUCACAUUUGACCAACAGCCACAGGAGGGAGCCUCCCAGGUGGUCGACCGGAGCCAGGUGCUGCCAGGCACCCGACUGCAGAGCUUGCCCUCCAGGUGAUCUCGCAGUAUCGGUGUUCACAAGCCCUGUAAGGCACUCGGGGUAUCCUGAAGGCUACAGAUUCUGCAAGGGCAGAGACUUUAAGGAACAGCCAUAGUCCUUCUCCAGCUCAAAAUCUGGACCAUGGGCACAAGGUACACAUUGGGACCAUGCCAGGAGCUCUCCCAGAGGAGGAGGCCAGGCUGGCAGGGAGCCAGGUAGAGUUACAACAUAUUUCUGGAUGCCUGCAUCGUAGAGUCCAUCGGACUUCAACCCAGCGGUUCACCCACAGCGCCACGGUAGCUUUUAUUAACACAAGGCUAUUGUGUGCCAUUCAGUUGUGAGUAUAAUAAAUGUGCCAAGAAGAUGCAGUCGUUAAAAUGAGACAAAACUAUGCACAGAGGACUAAACAGGAUUUCAGACUCGAGACGCAAACCCCGAGGUCAGGCUCAGCUAGAGACACUGAACUGGCCCAGUAUCUUGCCGAGUAAAUCAGGAACUGUGGCUUGAAUGACAACAGAAAUGGAUGGGUCUUUCUUGGACAAGUGCUGAUUAAUAGUGCAUUUUCCAGCAAAAAUCCUGCAGCCACCAAAGAAAAAGCAUAUCUGUCUGAUACUAUUAGCUUUUCCCUGAUUUCAACCUAGGGAGCCAUGCCUGGUCCGCAGCCACCGUGUCAUCUGCCCCAAAGUCAGACAUUUCUUCUGACACAAAUAUAAAAUGAGCCUAAUACUUCCAGACAACCCAGUCCUCCCUACGGCAGCUGAGUCGUGUCUUUUAUACAAUGCUGCCAGUAACAGUCACACCUGGCUGCACAGCUGGCUGCCUCAACUUCUAGGUGCCUCGAAAUGGCUAAAUCCCACGAAUGGCUCUUCUGGUUGCGUGAAAACAUGCAUAAACGCAUGCUUGUGCACACAAGUGAGCACACACACACACCUCCUGUCAAUUCAGCUCUGAGAGCAGAACCUUAGCCCACCUAGGGUGGGAGGACACAGAAGUUCCAUCUGCAGCCAGUCAGGCUCCAUCCACAGGCUGGACGAAGCUCCCGGGCUGCGUCCCGGGUCUCCCAGCAGGAAUGGAAAUCACACCUAACGUUGCCUUCACCAAUGCACUGCUUCCUCUCUGAAAAAGAGUGGAGAAAACGCCGUUUAGUGCGACGACCUGGGGAAUGUGUGUGACCCACCACAGGUCAGCACUCAAGGCAGUUGGGGCCUUGACCAGGCACUGGCUCUGCACAGGAUGGUCACUGAGCCAAUGGCAGGCACUGCCCUCAUGGGUCCAGCACCAGCUACAGCGCCACGUCCUGAGCCUCCAGCCCGGGAGACGCACCUGGCACCCACCGAAGGCCACACUCUCAGGAAGAUGAGUCCAUGCUCCUCACAAAGCCCCUACAGAAGUGACCUUGGAUCUUUCUCACCAUGUCUGGGCCAGCAGCCCGGUUUCUACCCAACUUCCCUCAUUGCUUAGAAAGUGGGCCUCUGCUAAGUUCAAAGUUUUUAUUACCUUUCCAUUUUUUCAUGUUUUUGAAGAAGUUAUGAAGGAUCUGCUUUUCACAAGGGCGGGCCCCGGAUCAGUCCCUGGGGCAUGGCAGCAUCGGGUGGGAGGCCACGUGGGCUGAGGGGCGGGAGCGAGGGCACGCUGGGACAGAGGCAGAGGGGCGGGAGUGAGGGCACGCUGGGACAGAGGCAGAGGGCCCGGCCGUAGAGACACCACGGUUUUCUAAUCUAGGAGAGGUCUGAAGAGCUUUUUGGUUUUUGAUUUAACCUAACUUCUAAGUAAGAAGAUAUUACCUCAAACAGAAUGAAAAAUAAAUGUAGUCAAAUGACACAUACAUGUUUACUUCUUCCCGUAUUAAGCGUUACAGUUGAAAUCUCUGCUGCAGUUAACAUAGUACCUUGUUCUUUGUGCCUUUAAUCGGGUUCGUUUCUAAAUAGGUUGUCCCGGAACCAUCGAUCUCUAGAAGGUACAGGAGGAAGGGGACCUGCCAGUCCAGCCCUCAUAUUUUACAGAGGGAAAAGGUGAAGCCCCAUGUAAAACAGGGAUUUCCCUCGGUGACACUUCCAGGCUGAGAAGGGCCGGGGAUCUGGACACCUACCCAGAAACACUCCCACCCUGUCAAUGCCUCUCUGAAUUAUGUGAUCAACUGCCUGGAGUAUGAACUAGGCACAUGCAAAUAGAGAACAGAGGUCUUGUUGAAAAUAUGAUGCUGAAUUUUAAAAACUCACUCCCCAAAUUAAAGGAACAAGACCAGAGCA